UUUUUUUAAGUCAAACUUCACAAAUUGAUCAAGUUUGUUUCUGGAAAAUAAUAUUUACAUCUAGAAUGCCAAAUAUAUACCUUUAGAUUCAUAAUGAGUUGCAGCUUCGUAUUCUAUAUAUAUUUGAUAUUAUAGGAAAAAUAGUUUUCUUUACAACUUGAUCAAAGUUUGCAAUAUUUGACUUUGCAAAAAAUCUGUACGCACUACAUUAUGAAAAUGGAUGAAGUACUUCAUAGGGCGAUGCUCCGUGCUGGUCAACUCACGCGAGCUCCGGACCAGCCACAUCCAAACCGCUUGAUGUGUUCCUCUUAGCCGCGACCCUCUUGCAAAACGAGAGACGCGUGUGGUCAACCCUCUACCCCUGUGCGAGUUGGAGGAUGGACGGUUGCGCGUUGGUCGGUAGCACCACGUCGUGCCUGGCCACAGCUCGAUUGCAACUUUGUUGCCCCUUUCCUGCGGGUGGUAUUGAUGUUGCUCGGCCAUCGUUGUCGUCGGAGCACCAACGCAUCUCUGGUUGUUUGUGGUUCUAGCUCGCCCCCCAUCCCCCUAUCGCAACACCCAUGUUCACCAUCGCUGGUUACAACAACGAUGCUCUCUGGUUCAACAAUCGGGUGUCACCGUCUAGUUGCAGCUCCUAGUGAUUCCCAUCGUAGCAUCGCGGUGACCCAUUGCAGCAUCUCGACAUCAACAUCGUGGCAUCCACGGACGCUAGUCGUAACUUCGACUCCCUCAUCGCAGCCUGCCAUCUCGUCGGUUCUAGCAAAAAAAUCGAAGCAAAAUGAUUGUAGCUUCCAUGGGAGCCGAUUGCAACUUUCCCUUCCUCCUCACUGGGCACUGACGUAGCUUAUGCAAGCGCCGGUUGCAGCUUUCGCCAUCGUUGGUUUCAACGGUGGUGGACAGUAGCUUAGCAUGGUGCGGCUGCACACCCCGGCGGGCAUGGAGGCACUCGCGGCGGAGAUCAACGGUGAGAUGCCCAUUGUAGCUUCCACGGGAGUUAAUUGCAGCUUUCCCUUCCUCCUCACUGGGCACUAUCGUAGCUUAUGCAGGCGCCGGUUGCAGCUUUCUUCAUCGCUGGUUUCAGCAGUGGUGGACAGUAGCUUAGGAUGGUGCAGCUGCACACCCCGGCGGGCAUGGAGGCACUCGUGGCGGAGAUCAGCAGUGAGGAUGCACAUUGUAGCUACCACGAGAGUUGAUUGCAGUUUUCCCUUCCUCCUCACCAGGCACUAUCAUAGCUUAUGCAGGCGCCGGUUGCAACUUUCGCCAUCGCUGGUUCCACUGGCUAGUCUGUAGGCUGCUUUCUUCUCUUUGGCCUGCCCAUCUUUUGGUGACAAGCUCCGCCACUUGCUGGUUCUAGCAAUGGUGGACCGUAGCUUAGCAUGGUGCAAGUGCACACCCCGGCCGGCAUGGAGGCACUCAUGGCGGAGAUCAACGGUGAGUAUGCACACUUCAGCAGGCAUGGAGGCACUCGUGGCAGAGAUCAACGGUGAGGAGCCGAGAGAGAAUGGUGACAAACGUGAGUUCAAAAAUAGGGGCAGGGCUCGCCAAGAAACGAGACGAGCCAGAGAGGAUGGCGAAGCAAGCGUGAGUUAGCAAAGGGGGACAGGGGAGGAGCUCGCCAAGAAACGAGACAAGCCAAGAGAGGAUGGGUUGGAGGUGGCCAGUAGGGAGCUCGCCAAGAAACAAGCAUCCAAGCAGAGGAGCUGAGUGAGGAUGGCGACGAGCGUGCGACCAAGAGAUGAGGACGAGCAAGCGACCGGCGCUACAAUCGACCGAUGUGAAUCGUUUUCCUUCAUGUGGUCACUCGAACAAGCUGACCUAAUUUUAACAGUCGGUACGGUAACAAUGAAAAUGGCUUGUACACAUUCCUUCAAAGCUCGCAGAAAACAAGAUAACAACCUUUUAGGCAAGCAGACUCAUUUCAGAUAAUUUGCAACCAGGUACGACUCUAAAUAGGUUUCAACAGCUAAAUCACAAUAACAGUAGCACAUGACACGAAGAAUUCAUAGAUGAGCCAGAUUCUGAAAACAUCACCUAGUACAAAACUUAGGCAGGGGAAGUAACCAAGUAUCACAUGUUCGUUUUGACAAAAUGAUACAACUGAUGAUGCGGGGCAGCAGCUCAAGCCUUGAGCUUGCCGUAGAACCUCUGCUUCUCGUCCGUGGUCUGGAAGCGACCGUGCCCAAACUUGGAAGAGGUGUCGACGAACUUGAGCUUGAUCUCCUCCAGGGCCAGACGAGAGGUCUGCUUCAGCAGGGACUGGCGGAGGGUCACCACCCGCUUCUUGGGGCCGACACAGCAUCCCUUGAUCAUCAGGUAGUCAGCCUUCACCACACCAUAGUGAGGGAAGCCACCCAUGGGAGUGAUGUCCUUCUCAGUCCUGUAAGAUCAAACCAGUGCAAAUGGAUCAUCACCAGAUACAAUUCAGACCAGAAAGUACAUAGAUGACAAACUAACACUAACAAAACAAAAACACACCUGUCGAACUCGGUAGAGGCAUCAUGAGUUUCCUGUCCAACCUUGCCAAUCUUGUAGACCUUCUUGUUCAUCUCAGUUCGGUGGUGGUAACCAUUCUGACCAGCACGAGCAACAGUGUAGGACACCCUAGCAGGAUGCCAGGCACCAAUACAGGCAACCUUGCGAAGACCUCUGUGGGUCUUGCGGGGAAGACGGGUGACACCCCAACGUGUCACAACACCUUCGUAACCCUUACCCUUGGUAACUCCAAUGAUGUCAAUCAUCUCAUCCUUUUGAAACACAGCAUCAAUAGGGACUUCCUUCUCAAAGAAGCUGUAACCAUAGUCAACCUUAUCGGCGAUGGUGCCACCAUUGAUCUGGAUCUCCAUGAGGUGAGCCUUCUUCUGCUUCAAUCCCUUCAUCUUCCUGAUCUGAAUCACAUGAAAAGCAACAUGAGUAACAUUACUGUGAACAACAAGGGCAAAAGAUAGAAAGUACCAAGACAAUUUCUGACCUGGGUAUGGGCGAUAACACGGACAACAGUAGCAUACUUCUUCAUCUUCUCAAGCUGCAUAUGGAUUUCUUUUUUGCCAGCAUCACUGUCAUACUUCAGAGCAUACUUGGUGAAGGCCUUCUUCUUGCUCUUGCACCAGUUCUUGUAGAACCUCCUCCUGACAUCUUCGCUGAGAUGCUGUGCCCAGACUGAGUUGAGAGUACGAAGGCCACGAGGAGUCUUCACAUAGGCAACAAGUCCAACAAUAACAAUCGGGGGUGUCUCAACAAUGGUGACAGCCUCACAUGUCUCCUUCUUGUGCAGCUCUGUGGAAUAUCAAAUGGAGUGUUAUCACACAUAUGCAACAGCCAUUUACAAAUUCAAAUAGAGUCAACAGAUUCAUGAUUCAACUUCUGUAACGAUAGAGGGCAUUGCAACAGCAAUAAUGGUGGGAAGGAAUCAAUUGAGUAAAACAAGAAUAUGAACAUAGACAGAGAGUUAGUAAACAUACUGGAACCAGGCUUCUCGACCUCACGCACAAUGUGAGUCAUCCCAGAUUUGUAGCCAAGGAAGGCAGUGAGGUGGCAUUUCUUGGAUUGGUCAUCUCUGGGGAAGGCCUUCACUGCAAUUAAGACAGGCAAAUAUUAGAUUGACAUACCAAGAUCAAUGGAAUGUCAAAUUUUCGCAAUGACUGGAAGCAGCAUUAAAAUAUCAAACAGGCAGUGUUCCACAUGCCACUGAUGUAAUCACAGGAAAAGCUAAAAACACUACGAAUUUGAAAGUAAGCAAUUUACUAAAGUAUACAUUUGCUGAAAGUGCAUCAAGUGUUUGGCAUCUCUCAAGACUAGCAAAAAUUGACUGAAAACUGGUGCACACAUGCAAGUGUAAUCUAUUAUAAAUGUUAUCAAGUGUUCCUUACAUAGACAUGAAAAACAGCAUCACAGUAACAACAAAACAACCAUUGAGACGUGCAAAUCAAGGAUUACAGGUUGCACAGGAACUAAUUGAAAACUCCAACUGAGGACUAGGUCAGGAGGCAAUCUAAGGAAGCCAAAUUAUGGCGUGGAUUCCUAGUUACGAGUCUACUACUGCACACGAAAAGGUCACUAACCCAAGCAGGUUUCAACAAAAAGCGACGCACCCAAACAGUAUAUACUCACAAGCCGGCUCGCCUCACUUGAUCGACUAAACAUACAAACAGAGCAUAUCACGGCUAUCAUCUGCAGGUGGAGAGUAACUAGAGCAAGCAGGCAUACCCUUUCCGCGGUGGCGCGAGCACCGCUUCCUGGGGAGGAAACCGAGGGAUCCGUGCCUCGGGUGCUCGAACUUACGGUGCGACAUCUUCCCUUCCUUCCCCUGUGGAUAACAAAUCAGGAACCCAUCAGAUCCAGGCAGCGCAAGAGCGCAAGAGCGCAACGAAACGACCACGAGUUCACGACUUGGAAACGGCGGCGGCAGAGCCUGGCGGCAACGAAAUGCCCGCCGCCGUCGACGGUGAGAAGGGAGCAGAGACGAGGGAAAGGGAGGAGGCGGCGCAGUUUACCUGUAGAGGUGGAGGCGGCGGCGGAUGGGGGAGGGUGGUGUGUGUGGAGGAGGAGGGCACGUAAACCCUAGGAGAGCUUAUAUAAAGAGGGACCCCGGGGUGAGGGUUUUGUUCGGUCGGACGGAAAUGCCCCUUGCGGAUCUUGCUAGGGCUAAUGAGGCCUGGCCCGUUUCUCUGCUCUACGUGUGGGUUCCGGCCCAAUGUGCGUUCCCUAGAAAAAAAAAGGUUACUCUGCUUUCUCUCCCAAAAAAUUUUUUAAGGCCUGGCUCAAGCUGGGAGGGUGGAUGGCGUAUGUCGACCCAAGCCGCGUCAGAUAGUCUGAAUUUGCCUUUAAAAAUAUCAGAUAUAUCAUUGAAGUUUUUCUUUUAUUAUGAAAAAACCUCUGAAUAUGGGGGCUUUGAAGAGUCACUUCCCAUAAAAUGCCUUCUUGGUGAAAAGAAGGGAGGGGGUCUAUGAAUGUAUAUUUCAAAGUUCAUCGAUAUUUUGUUGUUUUGUUCUUCUUUAUCCGCGUAAGUUGCAAGAGGUGUGCAAGAAGAAGACUACGUCAGUACACCUUGUAGUUUUAAAUUCUCAAUCCCCCCCCACCCCACCCCACACUAGAGCGCUCCAUAAGUGUCCUUCUUGAAAUUCCAUGUAGAUGAAGCGUUAAGAAGGCUACCGAGGAGUUUUUGAGGGGUUUGUCAAACAUGUGAGGCGUAUCACAAUGAUGCUUCGAUGACCGUCACCAGUAGUAUGAUUGAUCUCGUAACCUUUAUCCCUAGCAUAGGAGAUCAAUGGUCGCAAGUUGGUUACGAUGUCAACCUGUUAGCCAGAGUCAAAUACAUUUAGAGGGCAUUCGAUAUGGGUAUAACACGAUUCUUAUGGGAGAUCAAGUCUACCUUAAAAAAAUGAAGUGCAACAUAGAAUCCCAUGUUAUGGUUAAGCAUCACAUUUGGCUGCUUUAGUCACCGAACAUCUCCAUUGUACCUUUCAAUAUUUUGCAGUUGUAAAGCACUAACAGAGUAAUAGCUUCCAAAAUCAUCUUCCCUUUCUUUAUGUUGAGAACUUCUUCACGUCUGUAAGUUAUAUGCAGUACUAACACAAGAUGAAAAAGCAAUGUAUUCUAUUCUCAAAUGAGAGUUUUCAUUCUUGGUUACGGCUCUACAGCUACUCUUAAAUUGUGUGUCUCCUAUGGGCAUCCGUGGUGAUUUCAUUUUUCUCUUCAAAAAAUCAUGUUCGAGGGCAUUAGAACAUGCUCCCCAAUUGCUACGGAUAGCAGAUGGGACGAAAGUAGGUCAACCAGGGAAGGAGAAGGCGUGAAGGAGGAUGACAAAGGAGAGGUGAAUAUCAAGGAGGUGAAGUUGACGACGACAAAGGUGGGGAUGGCACAAUCAAUAACGAUGGAUGAGGGGUUAACGAGGUCCACGAGAGAAGAUAUGCCAAAUAUGGUGACACGGCAAGGGGAGGAAGAGGAAGGAAUUAACAGAUGUGGGAAAGAUUAGCACAAACCCAACACGAAAAAGCCUUUGUAUGUGUGUGAUUUUCAUAUGACGCUAUACUCCAGCCAUCCAUGCAUAGCAUAUAGUGCAGCACAUCCGUCGGAUUUUCAAUUGUAUCGGGAUUGAACAUGAAGUGUCGGAUGGGCGGUACCUCCAUUCCUUUAUCUAUCUGUUCUGUUUCGGCGAGUUUCUGUAUUGAAUAUAGUAGAGAACAACACAUAAAAUACCCGUGCAUUGCAACGGGGCCAAUUAACUUAAAGAGUUCAAUAUUAAUAUUCUCAUACAUAUCAAGUUACAUUGGCGACCUUUUUUACCAUCAAAUCCUCACACACACACUCUUCCUCACUCUCUCCCCCUCUCCCUCUCUCUUUCUCUAACACACACACAUAUCCAGCUUAUUGGAUACAGGACCAUAAUCCAUCUAUUUCACACACACACUAGUGCAUAACAAUAUGGAUUAUAUGUAUUAUAUUUGCCACCACAACUGAGGGAAUUAAUUUCAUGUAAAUCGGCCAGCCACAGCUCCAAGAAUACGCGAAGGAGGUGGACCGGGUCGGCAUCGGCGCCGUCCAGCGCGGGCCACGGGCCUGCUUCCAAGUGCGUCUGCACGCCGGCCACUCACGCCGGGUCCUUCAAGUGCCGCUUCCACCGCACCAACUCCGAGGGCCACGGCCAAGAAAGUCGCCCUUCUUCGCCCCUUCACCGGCCGCGGCCAACACGGUGCCGCGGCACCCGGCCUCGCCGUCCUCGUCCUCCGGCACCGUCGCGACCCAGUCACGCAGCCCAAGCAUCGGUCUCGAGAAUCAAGAACGCUCGACAAUGGAGAGGGAAGGAAGAUCAUAUACAUGUCAUAAGAAAGGGAGUUUAUUUACUGCCCCCUCUAUGUAUUGUUUCCUUUGUUUGAAGAUUGAUUACCAUCCGUGAGUUAAGAUUAAUGUGAUUGAGCGAUUUUUCUAAAAAUCAAAUAUUUGCUUUCUAAUUAACGUGAUUGAGUGAUUUAAGGUAAGGUUAAUUAAUUUAGAUUUUAUUUUUAGAGAUUGUUCGUGAUUGAUUCUACAUUACUAAAUAACUUGCGCCAGUAUGGAAAGUUCUGAUCUGUUCAGAUUUCUUUCGUUGUGUGAGAGGGUGACGUGAAAAUAAACCAAUGAGAUGGAGGGAGGGGACAAAAAAAUCUACGAAAAAAACCAACGAAGGUGGGAGAAGGUACCAAAAAAACCAUGAAAGGUGGGAAGCCGCCCUUCUUCGCCCCCUUCACCGGCCAGACCAACGCGGUACCGCGGCACCUGGCCUCGCCGUCCUCGUCCUCCGGCACCGUCGCGACCCAGUGACGCAGCCCAAGUAUCGGUCUCAAGAAUCAAGAACACUCGACAACGGAAAGGAAAGAAAAGAUCAUAUACAUGUCAUAAAAAAGGAAGUUUAUUUACUGCUCCCUCUAUGUAUUGUUUUCUUUGUUUGGAGAUUGAUCAUCAUCUGUGAGUUAAGAUAAGGUUAAUGUGAUUGAACAAUUUUUCUAAAAAUCAAAUAUUUGCUUUCUAAUAAAUGUGAUUGAGUGAUUUAAGGUAAGGUUAAUUAAUUUAGAUUUUAUUUUUAAAGAUUGUUCGUGAUUGAUUCUACAUUACUAAAUAACUUGCGCCACUAUGGAAAGUUCUGAUCUGCUCAGAUUUUUUCGUUGUGUUAGAGAGUGACGCGAAAAUAAACCAAUAAGGUGGAGAGAGGGGACAAAAAAACCAGCGAAGGUGAGAGGAGGUACCAAAAAACCAUGGAAGGUGGGACGAAAAUAAACCGUAUGAGGCUACCAACUGCUCCAUUAGGAGUAGAGAUUGUUAUAGAUGCAACUGAAAUUCGCCAUAUUACACGAAAAAUGACUUUGAUAUUACUUGGCAGAGGCAGAUCCCCAAAGAACAAAACUAUAACGGCCAGACACAAUUACAUGAAUCAAUUAUACUUAUGUGCUAUGCACUCUACACCUGAUGGCAAACACUCAUGCAACUUAAACUCCAUCUCUCAAGUCAAGAAUACCAAAACGAAAAGGAUGAUGAAAAGAACCACCAAGAAAGCUAUCAUCAUGAUCUGCCCUUUCAAGCUGGC
rnacentral:lncRNA from 1 species